AUUUUAGGUCACUGUAGUCGGCAAGCAGUUUGCAGCAGUUUUGCAUCAGUUAUCUCUGGGGAAAAAAGGGGGAAUUACUAUGAUCAAUGUGACUGGAAUUAAUUUCUUUUUAUCACUCUUUGAACAGUCACUCAAAUUUCCUCAAAUCUUGCAUUGUGUGACCCUCUUUGCCACUCAGGACAGUGUGAAACAGAACCAUUCCAUGAACGCCUCAGAUUUUGCUUUUAAAUUUUUUAUGCGAGGUGCCAGCAUUGAUGAGAAAUUAAUUGCCUAUACAUGUUGGUGCAUGGUCACUGAAAUGAGUGAGAUUGGAUGCUUUACAUUUGAAUGGGCAGAGGACGCCCUGCACUAGAUCAUAUCUUUCCCCUCACCAGUCUCCUAGCGGCAGGUGCAGUAUGUACAUAACAUGGGAAUUUGUAGUUUCUUGCUAGAGAGAGCACCAGCAUUUGUUAUCUUCAUUGAUGCAACUGUAGUGCUACACGUAGUUCAUGUACCAACCAUGCCUGUAAUUUGUGCAUCUCAGUGUCUUUUUGCUGGCCGCAGACAAUGGUGACCCCUUCAGUUGGAAUGUCAGGCCAAAGAACCUCUACUGCAUCUGUAUGCUAAAGUCUCAAGCCAUUUUCUUACAGUUCGGAUGAACUCACCGACAGUAUGCUAUGCAUGUGUUGUCAACUCUACUAGGUCGUCAUGGUUGAAGUGUUCCAUCAACUUUUUCUUAACUGACCCGUGGCUGAAAUCCAGUGAAAGUAGAAACAGUGUAUCCUUGUCAUUUGCACUGGAACCCUUGAAGAAACAGUUUGUCAAAUCUCAAAGAAGGCAGCACCAUCUGUGGAAUUCUUGAGGGCACCGGUCAAGUCUUCGAAUCUAAUCACUGAUGUCUGACUGUGUGACAUGAUCGAGUAUCCUUACUCGUCUACCUCUCUGCCUGCGGUACUAGUCAAUGUCCUGGCACUGACACCAUGCGGCACCUGUUGGAAUCAUAGCACAUCACUGAAAUGGACUCUGCAAGUUGAGGGUAACAGGGUUAUGGAAACUUUCGGAAGGGGCAUUGAAGUCUGGGAUUUGGUAGGCAGAUCAGUCCGUUGACUGGAUGUUCCAAACCAUCCAUCAUUCAGUGCUGCAAUUACAGUGGUGUGCCAUCUUGAAGAGUCCAUUUUCUUGAUGAAGAUGUACGGGCAAAAACCAGCAGCAAGGCCGAAGAUGUUACUGUCUGAAGUGUGUUAUUUGCCGCGGCUUCCUUUGACAAACCUAGGCAGCACAAACCAGAUGCUACAAACGCUCAAAGAUUAGAUUUGCAGAAAAAAGUGUACAGAUUAUCUUCCAAUGGUAAACAUGGUUUAGGACUAUAUGUCUUGUUUGGAAGAGUUUUUGGAACAGGGAAUAAGAGUAAAUGUCUUCAGUUGAACAUGCACGACUUCUUUUUAAACACCAAACCCAUAUUUUGAGAACUGCUUUUCAGGGUGUAUUUUUGUCUAUAGAGAAAGAAAUCAAGUAUGUUUUAACUUACUUUUUCUAAAUGUCAUAAAAAUUACAAAGCUUUAGACAAAUUGUUCACUUAUGUGGAGACAAUUCAAAAUGUUCAUCAUACGUUCAUGAUUGCACAAAGUAAUCACUAUCAUCCCUUUAAUGAAGCUGUAAAGUAGGACUCAUAAAUUCUUGAGAACCCUAGAGAAAUUAACUGAUGUACAAUUUUAUUGUUUUUCAGUUUUUCCCCUGAACUUUCAAAAUUUUCAUCAGAUUGUAGGAACUUCUUAUUCAAAAUAAGCAGGUACCUGUAAUGCCCAUCAUGUUCCUAGAAAGUAUAUAGCAAGAUAGACUAGGAAGCUUACUACCAAAAUUUUUUAUAUAUGCCCAAAAAAGUUAGAAAUUCAGCCACUCUGAAACUUCAGUCUUUGCAGAAUCUCAAUCUCAGAUGUUCCACAAACAGUUGAAUUUUGUGACAACAUAAAAACAUGUAGAAAUGGAUAUUUUGAAGAAAUUUUGAAUAUAGAAAGACUUCCAAUUAUAUUAUGGACCUACUGCUUACUGAAGUAUAUGCAAGGUGUGAAUAUUUUGUUUCUUCCUUUUGCCACAUUCAAA
rnacentral:lncRNA from 1 species